AGAGUUUGAUCCUGGCUCAGGAUGAACGCUGGCGGCAUGCCUAAUACAUGCAAGUCGAACGGGGUGCUUGCACCCAGUGGCGAACGGGUGAGUAACACGUAUCUAAUCUACCCAUUAGCGGGGGAUAACAGUUGGAAACGACUGCUAAUACCGCAUACGACAUUUUUUGGCAUCAAAGAAUGUUAAAAGGUCCGUUUGGAUCACUAAUGGAUGAGGGUGCGGCGUAUUAGUUAGUUGGUGGGGUAAUGGCCUACCAAGACAAUGAUACGUAGCCGAACUGAGAGGUUGAUCGGCCACAUCGGGACUGAGACACGGCCCGAACUCCUACGGGAGGCAGCAGUAGGGAAUUUUUCACAAUGGGCGAAAGCCUGAUGGAGCAAUGCCGCGUGACUGAAGACGGUCUUCGGAUUGUAAAGGUCUGUUGUAAGGGAAGAACAGUAAGUAUAGGAAAUGAUACUUAUUUGACGGUACCUUACCAGAAAGCCACGGCUAACUAUGUGCCAGCAGCCGCGGUAAUACAUAGGUGGCAAGCGUUAUCCGGAUUUAUUGGGCGUAAAGCGUGCGCAGACGGUUUAACAAGUUUGGGGUCAAAUCCUGGAGCUUAACUCCAGUUCGCCUUGAAAACUGUUAAACUAGAGUGUAGGAGAGGUCGAUGGAAUUCCAUGUGUAGCGGUGAAAUGCGUAGAUAUAUGGAGGAACACCGGUGGCGAAAGCGGCUCUCUGGCCUGUAACUGACACUGAGGCUCGAAAGCGUGGGGAGCAAACAGGAUUAGAUACCCUGGUAGUCCACGCCGUAAACGAUGAGUGCUAGAUGUAGGGAGCUAUAAGUUCUCUGUAUCGCAGCUAACGCAAUAAGCACUCCGCCUGGGGAGUACGACCGCAAGGUUGAAACUCAAAGGAAUUGACGGGGGCCCGCACAAGCGGUGGAGCAUGUGGUUUAAUUCGAAGCAACGCGAAGAACCUUACCAGGUCUUGACAUCUUUUGAUCACCUGAGAGAUCAGGUUUCCCCUUCGGGGGCAAAAUGACAGGUGGUGCAUGGUUGUCGUCAGCUCGUGCCGUGAGGUGUUUGGUUAAGUCCAGCAACGAGCGCAACCCUUGCCGUUAGUUACUCCAUUAAGUUGAGAUACUCUAACGGGACUGCUAGUGUAAGCUAGAGGAAGGUGGGGAUGACGUCAAAUCAUCAUGCCCCUUAUGACCUGGGCUACACACGUGCUACAAUGGAUGGUACAACGAGUUGCGAGACCGCGAGGUCAAGCUAAUCUCUUAAAGCCAUUCUCAGUUCGGACUGUAGGCUGCAACUCGCCUACACGAAGUCGGAAUCGCUAGUAAUCGCGGAUCAGCACGCCGCGGUGAAUACGUUCCCGGGCCUUGUACACACCGCCCGUCAAGCCAUGGAAGUCGGGAGUACCUGAAAUCGGUAACCAUAAAAGGAGCUGCUUAAGGUAAAAUCGAUAACUGGGGCUAAGUCGUAACAAGGUAGCCGUACCGGAAGGUGCGGCUG
rnacentral:rRNA from 1 species